GGGCCGAUAGCUCAACUGGCUAGAGCACUUGGCUGGCAGUCAAGGGGUUGCGGGUUCGAAUCCCGCUCGGUCCA
rnacentral:tRNA from 1 species